rnacentral:rRNA from 1 species
UGAGUAAUACAUCGGAACGUGUCUUCUAGUGGGGGAUAACUGCCCGAAAGGGCAGCUAAUACCGCAUGAGACCUGAGGGUGAAAACGGGGGAUCGCAAGACCUCGCGCUGGAAGAGCGGCCGAUGUCCGAUUAGCUAGUUGGUGAGGUAAAGGCUCACCAAGGCGACGAUCGGUAGCUGGUCUGAGAGGACGACCAGCCACACUGGGACUGAGACACGGUCCAA